rnacentral:tRNA from 1 species
UCCUUGGAGGACUAGCGGUUAGGCCUUGGCGCUCUCACCGACGCGGUCCGGGUUUGAUUCCCGGCCAGGGAA